rnacentral:rRNA from 1 species
UAAACCCUACGGGGCGCAGCAGUGGGGAAUAUUGGGCAAUGGGCGCAAGCCUGACCCAGCAACGCCGCGUGAAGGAAGAAGGCUUUCGGGUUGUAAACUUCUUUUCUCAGGGACGAAGCAAGUGACGGUACCUGAGGAAUAAGCCACGGCUAACUACGUGCCAGCAGCCGCGGUAAUACGUAGGUGGCAAGCGUUAUCCGGAUUUACUGGGUGUAAAGGGCGUGUAGGCGGGACUGCAAGUCAGAUGUGAAAACCACGGGCUCAACCUGUGGCCUGCUUUUGAAACUGUAGUUCUUGAGUACUGG